rnacentral:misc_RNA from 1 species
GAUGAAGAACGUAGCGAAAUGCGAUACGUAAUGUGAAUUGCAGAAUUCAGUGAAUCAUCGAAUCUUUGAACGCACAUUGCGCCCCUUGGUAUUCCGGGGGGCAUGCCUGUUCGAGCGUCAUUUCAACCCUCAAGCUCUGCUUGGUAUUGGGCUCCGUCCUCCUCGGACGCGCCUCAAAGACCUCGGCGGUGGCGUCUUGCCUCAAGCGUAGUAGAAACACCUCGCUUUGGAGUGCAUGGCGUCGCCCGCCGGACGAAACCUUUUGUAUUUUCUCAAGGUUGACCUCGGAUCAGGUAGGGAUACCCGCUGAACUUAAGCAUAUCAAUAAGCGGAGGA